GGCGGGGAAAAGCCUUCCUGGGGAAGUCGGGUCCUUGGGAGUCUUUAGUUUCGCUGAGCCGUUCCUGUUAGCACCAGAAAUGAGUUGUGCCCUCAGUCAAGUACUAAUUUUCUUUUGUGGCACUGAGCAUCUGUUUCCAACAUCUAUUUUCAACAAAGGUCUUGCUCUCAGAAAGCUCAGAAGGUAGGUGGAACCCUCUGCUGGUACACAAUGGGCCAACCUCUUAUAGAAGACUCCUGACAACACUACUAGGAUGAAAUUGUUUACCUUAUUUCACAGAUGAGGAGACCAAGGGUAAAAAGCUUCGUCACUUGCUGAAGUCUAGGCAAUUGACUUAACCAUCUGUAGGCUUAACCAACAUGUUGGACUUAUCACAGCAUGGGGACAGAAUUAGGGUUUUUUGGCCUAGCCUUCCCAUUUAGAAAGGGCCUCAAAUCCAACCCUUUAUAAUACUGUAUGUAUUUAUUUAUUUAUUUUCAGACCGAGUCUUGUUCUGUCGCCAGGCUAGAGUGCAGUGGUGCGAUCUUGGCUCACUGCAAGCUUCAGUUCCUGGGUUCAAGCAAUUCUUCUGCCUCAGGCUCCUGAGUAGCUGGGAUUAUAGGUACACACCACCAUGCCCAUUUAAUUUUUGGAUUUUUAAUAGAGACAAGGUUUCACCAUGUUGGCCAGGAUGGUCUCGAUCUCUUGACCUCGUGAUCUGCCUGCCUCGGCCUCCCAAAGUCCUGGGAUUACAGGUGUAAGGCACCAUUCCCAGCCAUACUACUGUGUUUCUAAAUGAGGUUAUACUUGGAACCAACCCAAAUGCCCAUCAAUGAUAGACUGGAUAAAGAAAAUAUGGCACAUGUACACCAUGGAAUACAAUGCAGCCAUAAAAAAGGAUGAGUUCAUGUCCUCUGCAGGGACAUGGAUGAAACUGGGAACCAUCAUUCUCAGCAAACUGACACAAGAACAGAAAACCAAACACUGCAUGGUCUCACUCAUAACUGGGUGUUGAACAAUGAGAACACAUGGACACAGGGAGGGGAACAUCACAAACCGGGGCCUGCGGGGUGGGUGUCCAAGAGAGCAGUAGCAGGGGGAUUGCAGAGGAAUAGCAUUAAGAGAAAUACCUAAUGUAGAUGACGGGGCGAUGUAUGCAGCAAACCACCACCAUGGCGCGUGUAUACCUAUGUAACAAACCUGCACAAUCUGCACAUGUACCUCAGAAGUUAAAGUAUGAUAAAUUUAAAAAUAAUAAUAAAAAUUUUAAAAAAUUAGGUUAUACAUUGACUCAUAGGAAUGCAUUGAGAGGAAUGAAUGAAGAUGCUUUUCAAUUUUAAACUUGGAGGCUGGGCAUAAUGGCUCAUGCCUAUAAUCCCAGCAGUUUCGGAGGCUGAGGCAGGAGGAUCACUUGAGACCGGGAGUUUUGAGACCAUCCUGGGACACAUAGUAAGACCCCCAUCUCUACCAAAAUAAAAAUAAAAUAAUAAUAAACUUGUGUUGCCUUACUGAAUUCCACUGUCUAUACAAGGGGUCAAUAAACUAAGGACUGUGGCCAAAUCCAGGCUGUCACCUAUUUUCAUGAGUAAAGUCAUAUUGGAACACAUCCUGGCCUUUUUUACUUCUCGUCAACAUUGGCAUUGGUGUCACAGCAGCAGACUCAAUCGCUGCAACACACCACAUGACCCAG